rnacentral:rRNA from 1 species
AACUGAUUGAACGUGCUUGCACGGACUUGACGUUGGUUUACCAGCGAGUGGCGGACGGGUGAGUAACACGUAGGUAACCUGCCCCAAAGCGGGGGAUAACAUUUGGAAACAGAUGCUAAUACCGCAUAACAAUUUGAAUCGCAUGAUUCAAAUUUAAAAGAUGGCUUCGGCUAUCACUUUGGGAUGGACCUGCGGCGCAUUAGCUUGUUGGUAGGGUAACGGCCUACCAAGGCUGUGAUGCGUAGCCGAGUUGAGAGACUGAUCGGCCACAAUGGAACUGAGACACGGUCCAUACUCCUACGGGAGGCAGCAGUAGGGAAUCUUCCACAAUGGGCGCAAGCCUGAUGGAGCAACACCGCGUGAGUGAAGAAGGGUUUCGGCUCGUAAAGCUCUGUUGUUAGAGAAGAACGUGCGUGAGAGCAACUGUUCACGCAGUGACGGUAUCUAACCAGAAAGUCACGGCUAACUACGUGCCAGCAGCCGCGGUAAUACGUAGGUGGCAAGCGUUAUCCGGAUUUAUUGGGCGUAAAGCGAGCGCAGGCGGUUUGAUAAGUCUGAUGUGAAAGCCUUUGGCUUAACCAAAGAAGUGCAUCGGAAACUGUCAGACUUGAGUGCAGAAGAGGACAGUGGAACUCCAUUGGUAG